UGGAGCUGAAAUCAGUCGAAGAUACCAGCUGGCUGCAACUGUUUAUUAAAAACACAGCACUGUGCAAACACGAAAGUGGACGUAUACGGUGUGACGCCUGCCCGGUGCCGGAAGGUUAAUUGAUGGGGUUAUCCUCACGGAGAAGCUCUUGAUCGAAGCCCCGGUAAACGGCGGCCGUAACUAUAACGGUCCUAAGGUAGCGAAAUUCCUUGUCGGGUAAGUUCCGACCUGCACGAAUGGCGUAAUGAUGGCCAGGCUGUCUCCACCCGAGACUCAGUGAAAUUGAACUCGCUGUGAAGAUGCAGUGUACCCGCGGCAAGACGGAAAGACCCCGUGAACCUUUACUAUAGCUUGACACUGAACACUGGUCCUUGAUGUGUAGGAUAGGUGGGAGGCUUUGAAGUGUGGACGCCAGUCUGCAUGGAGCCGUCCUUGAAAUACCACCCUUUAAUGGCUGGUGUUCUAACGUGGGCCCGUAAUCCGGGUUGCGGACAGUGUCUGGUGGGUAGUUUGACUGGGGCGGUCUCCUCCUAAAGAGUAACGGAGGAGCACGAAGGUCAGCUAAUCCUGGUCGGACAUCAGGAGGUUAGUGCAAUGGCAUAAGCUGGCUUGACUGCGAGCGUGACGGCGCGAGCAGGUGCGAAAGCAGGUCAUAGUGAUCCGGUGGUUCUGAAUGGAAGGGCCAUCGCUCAACGGAUAAAAGGUACUCCGGGGAUAACAGGCUGAUACCGCCCAAGAGUUCAUAUCGACGGCGGUGUUUGGCACCUCGAUGUCGGCUCAUCACAUCCUGGGGCUGAAGUAGGUCCCAAGGGUAUGGCUGUUCGCCAUUUAAAGUGGUACGCGAGCUGGGUUUAGAACGUCGUGAGACAGUUCGGUCCCUAUCUGCCGUGGGCGCUGGAGAAUUGAGGGGGGCUGCUCCUAGUACGAGAGGACCGGAGUGGACGCAUCACUGGUGUUCGGGUUGUCAUGCCAAUGGCAUUGCCCGGUAGCUAAAUGCGGAAGAGAUAAGUGCUGAAAGCAUCUAAGCACGAAACUUGCCCCGAGAUGAGUUCUCCCUGACCCUUUAAGGGUCCUGAAGGAACGUUGAAGACGACGACGUUGAUAGGCCGGGUGUGUAAGCGCAGCGAUGCGUUGAGCUAACCGGUACUAAUGAACCGUGAGGCUUAACCUUACAACGCCGAAG
rnacentral:rRNA from 1 species